GAGGCCACCCAGCUGGAAAGUGAGUGGCAAUUCCCCUCCCUCAGUCAAGCAACCCAGCCAGGCAUGCUGAACAGCCAGCCGUUGAUUGAACAAGGCUCACCCCAGGCUCACCACCAGUUGCUGCGUGACAUGGGGAUCAGCGCCAUCAUCGGCCUCCUUGGGCAGCUGAGGGAGGAGAACAGGGAGCUGAAGCGCGAUGUUGCAGGUCUCUCAAUGGAGAUCAGGGGGUUGAGGAGAGAGAUGGGGAGACA